ACUCCUAUUGAAUUCAGAUCAGAUUAGCAGCACUGAACAAUGGAGAAGAAAGUGGCGAUAGUACUGAGCGUGAUUUUGCUCAUAUUGUCAGCAAAUAUGGUGGCAGUUAACUCCGACGCCUCCGACUGCAACGACGCCUGCACCACUGCCUGCGUUAAUCCUGACCCUAGACUUACGGCUCGAUGCAACAUCAAGUGCGGGAUAAGGUGCGGUCCAGGACUCCAAGCAAAUGAGCAUCUAAACUGAUGUUUUGGAAUUGGGAAGACGAGGUUCAGUUUAUAUUACUGAAUAAAAUAAAUCAGUUGUUGUUAUAUGAGGAUAAGUUUGUGGGACACUGCUGUUACGUUUCUGUACUGGACUGGAUCUUAAUAUAAUGGAUGUUACGACUUUUUAAUACUA